UCAUUAAGAUCUAAUUGCCCCAAGAAUCACAAUUUCAGACAUUUUGGUGAUUUGGGGAAUGGGAAGGAUGCCAAUUUCAUUUUACAUUCUUUGAAGUCAAUGUUACAACCAAAGGCAAGACAGUGUGUUAUUGUCAAGGUGAACAAUAAAGAUGUCGAAGAGAAUUGCAGCUCCAGAUUUGCCCAUGAGGACAAUAAGAUUAUUUCUAGUCCAUCUCAAAGGAAAGAAAGAAGUCAACUGAAGGCAUUGGAAUCAUAUUUUUCUAAACUCAAUACCAGUCAGCAGCUAUGCUCUUUCUCUGAAAAGAACAAACACAAAAAUGGCCUAUCAUCCUCAUAUGAAGUUGACAUUGCUGAUGAUAAUGCCAAUUUGAGGAACAGGGCAGACUCGUUGCGGGUACAGUUUGACAGAGGAAACUCAGGUAAAGUCACUUGACUUGGCAAUUAGCACAGAUGUAUUGUCACCAAAACUUAGUUAUUAAAAAGAACUUUGUUGCUUUAGGUACUAAGAGUUAUCGCAACACUUCCAUUGAAGAUUACAAGGAGUACUUGAUAUUUGAUGAAAAGAGUUUCCUGGACAUGCAUACAGAUGAUCAAAUGUCUGGUUUCUGUUUGACGUAAGUAUGUUUUCUUACUAAUUACAGUAUUC
rnacentral:lncRNA from 1 species